AUAAAAAGGUUAAACAUUACAUGGUGGAUCUACUCAUUCCCUUUAACAUUCCUUGGUCUAGCUUGUGCUGAAUAUGCUCAUGAAGUGAAAACAAGCAUGGCCUCUGGUUUAAUGCUGCUGAUAUGUAUUGUGUCUGUUUUGGUUUUUGUUUUUCUCAUGCUAACUAAUGUUGAAUAUGAUAAUGCUGAAGUUCUAUCUAAUUACACAGAAAGCUGCAAUAAAGAAGAUGGACAUGAAAGCAUCAAAAGAAUUUUUUGCCGAGCUUAAGGUGUUAACGCGUGUUCAUCACUUGAACUUGGUAAGGUUGAUUGGAUAUUGCAUUGAAGGUUGAUUGGAUAUUGCAUUGCCGGAAUGGACUUGUCUCUUACAAUAUUGAAAAAUGCACACACUGCUAGAGAACUAAAAUGCACGCCAAAAUUGGACUAUACUUUUGAAUUAGUAACUCCUGCAACUGCACAGCCUUGGUUUUUCACAAGUCUCACCGAUGUAUUGGACGUUGAUUCACAUGUAAUCUUUUCCAUCGAUCUUUUGUAUUUACUUUAAUCCACUUAAUCUAUU